GGAGCAGUGGCCGAGCGGUUGAAGGCGACUGUCUUGAAAAUAGUUAGGGUGUCAAAGCCCUCGUGGGUUCGAAUCCCACCUGCUCCU
rnacentral:tRNA from 1 species